UCUGUAGGGGCCGAGCGUUGUCCGGAGUUAUUGGGCGUAAAGCGCGCGCAGGCGGCCUCGCGCGCCCGACGUGAAAGCCCCCGGCUUAACCGGGGAGAGUCGUUGGGGACGGCGGGGCUUGAGGGCGGGAGAGGUCGGUGGAAUUCCCGGUGUAGUGGUGAAAUGCGUAGAGAUCGGGAGGAACACCUGUGGCGAAGGCGGCCGACUGGGCCGACCCUGACGCUGAGGCGCGAAGGCGUGGGGAGCGAACGGG
rnacentral:rRNA from 1 species